AACGAACGCUGGCGGCAUGCCUAACACAUGCAAGUCGAACGAGACCUUCGGGUCUAGUGGCUCACGGGUGCGUAACGCGUGGGAACCUGCCCUUAGGUUCGGAAUAACUCCCCGAAAGGGGUGCUAAUACCGGAUAAUGUCUUCGGACCAAAGAUUUCUCGCCUUUGGAUGGGCCCGCGUUGGAUUAGCUAGUUGGUAGGGUAAAAGCCUACCAAGGCGACGAUCCAUAGCUGGUCUGAGAGGAUGAUCAGCCACACUGGGACUGAGACACGGCCCAGACUCCUACGGGAGGGAGCAGUGGGGAAUAUUGGACAAUGGGCGAAAGCCUGAUCCAGCAAUGCCGCGUGAGUGAUGAAGGCCUUAGAGUUGUAAAGCUCUUUUACCCGGGAUGAUAAUGACAGUACCGGGAGAAUAAGCUCCGGCUAACUCCGUG
rnacentral:rRNA from 1 species